rnacentral:rRNA from 1 species
AUUGAACGCUGGCGGCAGGCCUAACACAUGCAAGUCGAGCGGAUGAAGGGAGCUUGCUCCUGGAUUCAGCGGCGGACGGGUGAGUAAUGCCUAGGAAUCUGCCUGGUAGUGGGGGAUAACGUCCGGAAACGGGCGCUAAUACCGCAUACGUCCUGAGGGAGAAAGUGGGGGAUCUUCAGACCUCAAGCUAUCAGAUGAGCCUAGGUCGGAUUAGCUAGUUGGUUGGGUAAAGGCCUACCAAGGCGACGAUCCGUAACUGGUCUGAGAGGAUGAUCAGUCACACUGGAACUGAGACACGGUCCAGACUCCUACGGGAGGCAGCAGUGGGGAAUAUUGGACAAUUGGCGAAAGCCUGAUCCAGCCAUGCCGCGUGUGUGAAGAAGGUCUUCGGAUUGUAAAGCACUUUAAGUUGGGAGGAAGGGCAGUAAGUUAAUACCUUGCUGUUUUGACGUUACCAACAGAAUAAGCACCGGCUAACUUCGUG